CCACAACCAAGAUGGCCACCAGAAUGAAAAAUGACCUUACUAAAAGGGAGGCAGAACAAUAUAAUUUUGAUGGGAUCUUUCUGUUGCUAUACCGUUCAGGUAAAGAAGACAGAAUAUUCAAGAGUGAAGGAGCAGCCUCUGAAUAGCUGUGAUGACACAUCUGGACCACCCCAGAAGCUCUGCCCUUUCCAGUCAUGCUACCCUAUGAG